AGAGCGAACGCUGGCGGCAGGCUUAACACAUGCAAGUCGAGCGGGCGUAGCAAUACGUCAGCGGCAGACGGGUGAGUAACGCGUGGGAACAUACCUUUUGGUUCGGAACAACACAGGGAAACUUGUGCUAAUACCGGAUAAGCCCUUACGGGGAAAGAUUUAUCGCCGAAAGAUUGGCCCGCGUCUGAUUAGCUAGUUGGUGAGGUAAUGGCUCACCAAGGCGACGAUCGGUAGCUGGUCUGAGAGGAUGACCAGCAUCACUGGGACUGAGACACGGCCCAGACUCCUACGGGAGGCAGCAGUGGGGAAUAUUGGACAAUGGGCGCAAGCCUGAUCCAGCCAUGCCGCGUGGAUGAUGAAGGCCUUAGGGUUGUAAAGUCCUUUUAACGGGAAGAUAAUGACGGUACCCGUAGAAUAAGCCCCGGCUAACUUCGUGCCAGCAGCCGC
rnacentral:rRNA from 1 species